UUGUGUGACUUAGUUUCACACAGCUAUUGUGCUCCCUGCUUGCUUCUUGCAUUUAGAACAUACACUUUGAAACAAAUGCACAGGAGUGGAAACCUUUGCAAACUUCAUGUAACUUGAUGCUCUGGAAUAGUGGAAGUUUUGGAUCUUUGUGGGUGUUCAGAGCAAUAACUCAGAAAUGCUUAGAGUGUGAGCAGGAGCCUGCAAGAAUUGGGAACUGGUCUCCUCAUUUUCAAGCCAUUGGGACAGGCUCUUUCUUGGUGAAGCAGCUUGUCAGAGAUCAGGGGUGAUGUCUUUUCUCUGAGAAGAAGCACAUAGGUGGGAAUGGCCCAUAGCACCAUUGGAUGCAUAUUGCAGCCUUUGCAGGAGUGUUUUUGUAUCCUUGUGUGCUGUCAUUGGUGUGGCAAAAAGCAAGUGUCAUGUUAAUAUGAGUGCGACAGAAAAUGCUAAGGCUUUGUUCUCUCUCAGCGUCAGCGAAAGCGCCCGGGAGAGCCUCUUGAGUCCGGACCACCUCGGAAACGGAGAAGGCUGCUGCCCUCCAUCGCAGGUGGAAGUUGGCAGACAGAGGCAAGAGGCCCAGAGGAAAGUGGUUCACCUGCUUUGGAGCCUGGUAAGAACAGAAACUGCUUCUGCGGGCUUGGAGUUGAUUUGAACAUGUGCUUUUGCCAGUUCCUAGGCCCUGUCCUGGUGAGGAAGGAAAACUUGGGCUUCAGGAAGCACCUGGUAUGGCAUCCCUAAACAACAAGCCCACUGGCCGCUGUUUUGGUUUGUUACUGACCUCUAUACAUUGGCCUCUAGUGGGAGAUGAGCUGUGUAGCAAAGGCCCCAGGUGCUGCUCAAACACCUGGAUGUGUGUGUGCCCUGAAGAGCUGGCAGUGACUGCAGCAGCCACAGUGUCGGUGGCAGGCUGAGUUAGGGAUCUGCCAAGCUGGAGAAAGAUGAAGAAAAGUUAGUCAUUAGCUGUGGCCCAUUCUUCAGGGGAGCAUGGACAGCAUGGUACUGUAAAAUUAUUAUCCCCUCUAGUUUUGAUUGUUUCUUUCUCCUGUGUGCUAAACAUUCCCCUGUGUGAGAGGAAUGAUCUGUUGGGGUGAACGUCUCGUAAGCUGUUGUCACCCAACAGAACUUGUGAGGAGCUCAGGUACUCUUCCUCUUGUUUUGCCCCUUCUGAGGACAGGGCUGGCAAUGCUCCCUCUGGACUAUUGAGGGCAAAGCUUGAGUGAAAUAUUGGGCACAUUCCUGAAACGUAGGGCACAUUGAAAUGAAGCACAGCCUAUUCAACAGAGGCAGCCCAUUUCAUUGCUCUGCAAUCUCUGACCUUCAUUCUAAUGUUCUCUUCUUUUCAGUUCAUGGAGAAUUUAUAGUUGUAUCAGGCAAAUCAUCGGAGCCUGAUGUUGUCACUCUUGGUGAUGAUGAUGAAUCUCCUAUGGUAAGUAGUGACUGGCACACUCCUCUCCAUAUUGCAUGAAGAUUAAUUUUCUUGCCCUCUGGAAUCUUACUAAGUCCCCUGGCCUCCAAGGCUGAAAGAUGCCUCUGAUGUAGCACUUUAGACACAAUUCCCAGUCAACUCCAAACACACUCACAGACACUUCAGCAUGAAUGUGAAUCUUGAAACAUUUUACGAGGUACUUCUAGAAAAGAUUUCAAGGGUUUGUUGUCACAGUGUUUUAGGGAUGGUGAGGCAGUAGCACACAGACUCUCUGAGGGGUUGUCCAAGAGAGCAAGUUUUAUUAUUCCAGUUCUUCUUUUCUAGACAGGUCUGAGAGGUAAAACUCUAAUUGGUCAUUAAAGCAACACAUCCCGGUCAUUGGACAAUUGGUACACCACCGCUUGACUUUUCUUGCAAGUAAACAACAAGGAUCCUAAACAGCACCUGCAGAAGGUUGUUGUCCUUCUCCAAGCACUGUUUAGAUUCCUCCUUCUGCUUUCUCAGGCCACAGUGAGAAGCUUGUGUGACUUAGUUUCACACAGCUAUUGUGCUCCCUGCUUGCUUCUUGCAUUUAGCAUCCACACUUUGAAACAAAUGCACAGGAGUAGAAACCUUUGCAAACUUCAUGUAACUUGAUGUUCUGGAAUAGUGGAAGUUUUGGAUCUUUGUGGGUGUUCAGAGCAAUAGCUCAGAAAUGCUUAGAGUGUGAGCAGGAGCCUGCCAGAAUUGGGAACUGGUCUCCUCAUUUUCAAGCCAUUGGGACAGGCUCUUUCUUGGUGAGGCAGCUUGUCGGAGAUCAGGAGUGAUGUCUUUUUUCUGAGGAGAUGCACUUAGGUGGGAAUGGCCCAUAGCACCAUUGGAUGCAUAUUGCAGCCUUUGCAGGAGUGUUUUUGUAUCCUUGUGUGCUGUCAUUGGUGUGGCAAAAAGCAAGUGUCAUGUUAAUAUGAGUGCGACAGAAAAUGCUAAGGCUUUGUUCUCUCUCAGCGUCAGCGAAAGCGCCCGGGAGAGCCUCUUGAGUCCGGACCACCUCGGAAACGGAGAAGGCUGCUCCCCUUCAGCGCAGGUGGAAGUUGGCAGGCAGAGGCAAGAGGCCCAGAGGAAAGUGCUUCACCUGCUUUAGAGCCUGAAUUCAUAGGUGUGUCAGGCAAAUCUUCUGAGGCUGCUGUUGUCACUGUUGGUGCUGGUGACUCUGCUAUGCGUCAGCGAAAGCGCCCGGGAGAGCCUCUUGAGUCCGGACCACCUCGGAAACGGAGAAGGCUGCUCCCCUUCAGCGCAGGUGGAAGUUGGCAGGCAGAGGCAAGAGGCCCAGAGGAAAGUGCUUCACCUGCUUUAGAGCCUGUUCAUGGAGAAUUCAUAGGUGUGUCAGGCAAAUCUUCUGAGGCUGCUGUUGUCACUGUUGGUGCUGGUGACUCUGCUAUGGUAAGUAGUGACUGGCACACUCCUCUCCAUGUUGCAUGCAGAUUAAUUUUCAUGCCCUCUGGAAUCUUACUAAGUCCCCUGGCCUCCAAGGCUGAAAGAUGCCUCUGAUGUAGCACUUUAGACACAGUUCCCAGUCAACUCCAAACACACUCACAGACACUUCAGCAUGAAUGUGAAUCUUGAAACAUUUUACGAGGUACUUCUAGAAAUGAUUUCA